rnacentral:rRNA from 1 species
ACGACCCCAGGUCAGGCGGGAUCACCCACUGAGUUUAAGCAUAUCAAUAAGUGGAGGAAAAGAAACUUACUAGGAUUCCCUUAGUAACGGUGAACGAAUCGAGAAGAGCCCAGCUUGAGAAUCGGGUGCCCCCAAUGAUCGAAUUGUAGUCUGGAAAAGUAUCCUCAGCGAUGGAUCGAGUCCAAGUCCCUUGGAAAGGGGCACCAGAGAGGGUGAGAGCCCCGUUAUGCCUGGACCUUGUCACACCACGAAGUGCUGUCCGUGAGUCGGGUUGUUUGGGAACGUAGCCCCAAUCGGGUGGUAAAUUCUGUCCAAGGCUGAAUACAAGCGAGAGACCGGUAGUGAACAAGUACCACGAGGGAAAGAUGAAAAAGACUUUGAAAAGAGAGUCAAAGAGUGCUUGAAAUUUUUGGUAGGGAAGCGGAUUAGGGCUGAUGAUAUGCCUCGAUCGGAUGUGGAAUGGUAAGAGUCGAUCCAUUGAUCAGCUCGGGGCGUGGACCGAUGUGGAUCGUGGUGGAAGCCCAAGCCCGAGCUUUUGAUGUGCCCACAGAGAUGUCAUUGUUACGAUUGUGGAAUGCAGCACACACUGUCUUGGCAUGCCUCGACACCUGGUGCUCCCAACGUCAGUCUAUGGGCUUGCCAUCCGGCCUGUCUUGAAAUAUAGACCAAGGAGUUUGACGUGUGUAUGAGUCAACGGGUCAAGAAACUCGUAAGGCACAAGGAAACUGAUUAGUGGGAUCCCUCAUGGGUGCACCGUCGAUCGACCUUGAUCUUUUGAGAAGGGUUUGAGUGCGAGCAUACCCGUCGGGACUCGAAAGAUGGUGAACUAUGCCUGAGUGGGGCGAAGCCAGAGGAAACUCUCGUGGAGGCCCACAGCAAUACUGAUGUGCAAAUCGUUCAUCUGACUUGGGUAUAGGGGUAAAAGACUAAUAAAAUCGUCUAGUAACUGGUUCCCUCCGAAGUUGCCCUCAGGAUAGCUAGAGCCCCCGACGAGUUCUAUCGAGUAAAUCCAAUGAUUAGAGGCAUUGGGGGUGCAAUGCCCUCGACCUAUUCUCAAACUUUAAAUAGGUAAGAUGGUGCAGCUGCUUUGUUGAGCUGCACCACAAGAUCGAGAGCUCCAAGUGGGCCAUUUUUGGUAAGCAGAACUGGCGAUGUGGGAUGAAUCGAAAGCCGGGUUACGGUGCCCAACUACGUGCUAACCCAGAACCCAUAAAGGGUGUUGGUUGAUUAAGACAACAGGACGGUGGUCAUAGAAGUUAAAAUCUGCUAAAAAGUGUGUAACAACUCACUUGCCGAAUCAACUAGCCCCAAAAAUGGAUGGUGCUUAAGUGCGCGACCUAUACACGACAGUCGGAGCAAGGGCCAGGCCCCAACGAGUAAGAGGGCGUGACGGUCAUCGUAAAACUUGGGGCAUGAGCCCGGGUGAAGCGACCGUUGAUGCAGAUCUUGGUGGUAAUAGCAAAUAUUCAAAUGAGAACUUUGAAGGCUGAAGAAGGGAAAGGUUCCAAGUGAACGGUACUUGCACAUGGGUUAGUCAAUCUUAAGAGAUGAGGGAAGCCCAUCCGACAGCACGUCCCGCGUGAGUUUCGAAAGAGAGUCGAGUUAAAAUUCUUGAACUGGGAUACGGUAGCUGACAGCAACAUUAGGGAGUCUAGAGAGGUUGACGGGGGCCUCGGGAAGAGUUAUCUUUUCUGUUUAACGACCCUCCCACCCUAGAAAUGACUCAGCCGAAAGUAGGGUCCAGCGGUCGGAAGAGCACCGCACGUUGCGUGGUGUUCGGUACACCCCUGAUGGCCCUUGAAAAUUUGGAGGACCCAGUCCUGUCCACGUUCGAUCAUACUCAUAAUUGCAUCAGGUCUCCAAGGUGAAUAGCCUCUGGUCGAUGGAACAAUGUAGGCAAGAGAAGUCGGUAAAAUGAAUCUGUAACCUUGGGAAAAGGAUUGGCUUUGAGGGCUGGGCACGGCGUCCCAAUCCCGAACCCAUCGGCUACCAGUGCCUGCUCGAGCUACUCCCACAGUGAGAGCGGGACGUUGCAUGCCGACCGGGGGACAAGCUGAGAACAACUCCCUCGAGGGCCUUCCCCGAGCGACAAACAGUCGACUCAGAACUGGUACAGACAAGGGGAAUCUGAUUGUUUAAUUAAAACAAAGCAUUGCGAUUGUCCCUGCGGAUGCUCAUGCAAUGUGAUUUUUGCCUAAUGUUCUGAAUGUCAAAGUGAAAAAAGUCAACCAAGCACGGGUAAAUGGUAGGAGUAACUAUGACUCUCUUAAGGUAGCCAAAUGCCUCAUCAUCUAAUUAGUGACACGCAUGAAUGGAUUAACGAAAUUCCCACUGUCCCUGUCUACUAUCCAGUGGAACCACAGCCAAGGGAAUGGGCUUGGCGAAAUCAACGGGGAAAGAAGACCCUGUUGAGCUUGACUCUAGUCUGACUUUGUGAAAUUACUUGAGACGUGUAGGAUAAGUGGGAGCCUCGAGCGAAAUUGAAAUACCACUACUUUUAACGUUAUUUUACUUAUUUCGUGAAUCAGAGGUGGGGCACGACCCCUUUUUUGGAUCGAAGGCCGAUGUUGGUCGGUCGAUCUGGGUAGAAGACAUUGUCAGGUGGGAAGUUUGGCUGGGGUGACACAUCUGUUAAAAGAUAACAUAGUUUUCCUAAAAUGAGCUCAACGAGAACAAAAAUCUGUGUGGAACAAAAGGGUAAAAGCUCAUUUGAUUUUGAUUUCCAAUACGAAUAUGAAUCAUGAAAGCGUGGCCUAUCAAUCCUUUAGACCUUCGAGAUUUGAAGCUAGAGGUGUCAAAAAAGUUACCACAGGGAUAACUGGCUUGUGGCAGCCAAGCGUUCAUAGCGUUGUUGCUUUUUGAUCCUUCGAUGUCGACUCUUCCUAUCAUUGUGAAGCAGAAUUCACCAAGUGUUGGAUUGUUCACCCACCAAUAGGGAACGUGAGCUAGGUUUAGACCGUCGUGAGACAAGUUAGUUUUACCCUACUGAUGGCGAUGUCACGAUAGUAAUUCAACCUAGUAUGAGAGGAACCAUUGAUUCACACAAUUGGUCAUCACGUUUGGCUGAAAAGCCAGUGGCACGAAGCUACCGUGCGUUGGAUUAUGACUGAACACCUCUAAGUCAAAAUCUGAGCUAGAAGUGACCUGCGCACCUGUCGCCCAAUUGUCGACCUACAGUAAGGGCCCAUGGCCCCCAAGGGCACAUGUCGUAGGUGCAGCCCUCACGACGGAUGAGCCGUACAUGCCACCUUGGAGCUCAAUUCCCAUCGAACGAUGGGUAAAAUCCUUUGCAGAUGACUUAAAUAUGCGACGGGGUAUUGUAAGUGGCAGAGUGGCCUUGCUUCCAUGAUCCACUGAGAUUCAGCCCUUUGUCGUUUCGAUUCGU